rnacentral:rRNA from 1 species
UCAGUAACGGCGAGCGAAGCGGCAAAAGCUCAAAUUUUAAAGCUGGCACCUCCGGUGUCCGCGUUGUAAUUUUGUGAGGCAUCUCCGGGUGGGGCGCCGGCCUAAGUUCCUUGGAACAGGACGUCAUAGAGGGUGAGAAAUGCCCGUGCUUGGCUGGCUGUCCCCGUCCCUGUGAGGUGUCUUCGACGAGUCGAGUUGUUUGGGAAUGCAGCUCAAUAAUGGGUGGUAAAUUUCAUCUAAAGCUAAAUAUUGGUGGGAGACCGAUAGCGCACAAGUAGAGUGAUCGAAAGAUGAAAAGCACUUUGAAAAUAGAGUUAAAAAGUACGUGAAAUUGUUGAAAGGGAAGCGCUUGAGACCAGACUUCGGUGGGGAGUGAUCAGCCGUCCUUCUGGGCGGUGCACUUGCCCCCCUCCGGGCCAGCAUCGGUUGGGACGGCAGGAUGGAGGUCCCGGCAAUGUGGCUCCUCUCGGUUAGUGUUAUAGCCCGGGUGAAUGCC